rnacentral:rRNA from 1 species
GGUGAACGCUGGCGGUAGGCCUAACACAUGCCAGUCGAACGGCAGCACAGUAAGAGCUUGCUCUUACGGGUGGCGAGUGGCGGACGGGUGAGGAAUACAUCGGAAUCUACUUUUUCGUGGGGGAUAACGUAGGGAAACUUACGCUAAUACCGCAUACGACCUACGGGUGAAAGCAGGGGAUCUUCGGACCUUGCGCGAUUGAAUGAGCCGAUGUCGGAUUAGCUAGUUGGCGGGGUAAAGUCCCACCAAGGCGACGAUCCGUAGCUGGUCUGAGAGGAUGAUCAGCCACACUGGAACUGAGACACGGUCCAGACUCCUACGGGAGGCAGCAGUGGGGAAUAUUGGACAAUGGGCGCAAGCCUGAUCCAGCCAUACCGCGUGGGUGAAGAAGGCCUUCGGGUUGUAAAGCCCUUUUGUUGGGAAAGAAAAGCAGCAGGUUAAUACCCCGCUGUUCUGACGGUACCCAAAGAAUAAGCACCGGCUAACUUCGUG